rnacentral:tRNA from 1 species
AAGGGUAUAGCUCAAGUGGUAGAGUACAUGCUUAGCAUGCAUGAGGUCCUGGGUUCAAUCCCCAGUACCCUCU